ACGGGGUACGGUGGGUUCGCCCCGAACAAAAGAGAUGCUGAUCUCCCGCCAGAAUGACGUAACUCCCGAAGGCUUUGCAAAGGAGUCCACUUCAUCUAGUAAAACGGAAAGAACUUCUGUGCAACUGGACCACUUCACCAGGCUGUCUCUACUUCCCAAGACUGGCAGCAUGUGGCUUGUUUCUGUCAGCUGAUGCCAUGUUCUGCAAGAUUCCUGAGACUUCAUCAAUAAACACAGCCAGCCUGUCUGCCUAUUUUCUUCUUGCAGUCAAGCUUUGAGUAAAAUAAUGCAAAUGUUGAAGACCCUAAUGAUUGAAACCACUUCAGUUUAGGAGAGCAAUACAAAGUGAACACAGUGUGGAAUUUUGGCAUUUUGAGACAUCGUCCUCACUUUGUUGUAUUCCUCUGGCGGUCACCAUCAGUGCACGGCGCCCAGCUCUUAACAUCUUGUUGCACGGAAUGGUUGCUUCAUGUGAGGGAACAAUUUGUUCCCUCUCCCAUGUGAGCAGUUACCAAGGGGGCUCCUGUGUUACCAGCAGUUUAAAUUUACUAGUCAACAACUGGGAAAAAAAUAUCCUUUUUGGCACCAUACUUCAGCUAUAAUUUGGGAUUGUAUUAUGUUUUUUUUUAAUUUAGCAUUUAUUGUGUGUAUCCGUAUCUGUGUGGGAGCAUGAACGCCAUGGCACACCUAUGGAGAUCAGAGGACAACCCUUAAGAAUUACUUCUUUCCUACAAAGUGGGUCCCAGGAUUAGAUUCAGGUUGUAAGGUCUAACUAACUACAGGCACAUGUUUACCCAUUGAUCUCUUUUGACAACCCAUGGAUUCUACAUUUUCAGAAAGUCUAUUUUGUGGUGCUUUCAUUUGGAGUCCAGUAAAAUGUGUUACUUUCGGCAGUUUUUCAGUACAUAAAGUUAUUUUAAUAUUCCCUGUUUUGCUUAUCCAGUAUUACAUCAUUUUCUAUCAGCCCACUGUUUGAAAACAAAUUCUAUUUCUCUUGAGGCAUGAUGUCAAAGAUUGAAAUUGGAAAAAAAGCUUAGUUGAAAGCCAAUGAGGGAAAAGACACUACAGGAAAUAAAUACUAUAACCAUGGCUUGGUAGGUGUUCAAUUUAAUGAUUAUCAAGCUAAUUGGCAGGUAAUGAUAGUGUCUGUUAUUGUCUAAUGUGAUUAGUAUGUAAAUAAAGUGAUACCAAUU
ensembl:antisense Apol7d apolipoprotein L 7d